UAGGACUAGAAAAUCGUUUAAAGCCGAUGGACUUUGCAUAGAAACACUGUUACUCUGUCUUGUUGAGCAGCGCAGAGCACAUCACCAGGAAGAUGAUGAUAUUUGGAAGAGGCAAUCAACAAGAUAACUGACUUGUGAAGAAGGAAGCUCCACCCAAGAGCCAGGGAUUCUUGUUACAAGGAGGAGGCUGAAGGAAUUGUAAAAAAAGGUGGGUUUAAUAAAAACAAACAUACACACACACACACACAUACACAAAACAGCCCUGUGAAAAAUAACACAAGAGGUGAGUUUCACUUCUGUUUUGACAUUCCAUAACCCUGACAGGCAUGUUGUUAUUGUUAUCUCCGGUUAAUGUUUAAUUCCCAACUCCACAGAAGUGCACCGAAAAGGAAUCUUAUCAGGGUAAGGAAACAUUGUUAUUUCUGUUUAACCCUCUGAGGUCUGAAGGGUUCCAUGACCUGUUCAGCCACUGUUUUGGCACCUGUGGGAAUGGCAGUGCUGUUAUGACAGCUGAGGAGACGUGUCAGACAUUUUACAAACCUGAAGGACGUGUAGAAAUAUAUCUAGACUGUGAGACAUUAAUGAUUUCCAAGGUCUAUGUAGAUCAGGGCUGCCCAAUAGGUAGAUUCCCAGAUGUGAUAGAACUACAACUCCAAUGAUGCUCUGGUAUUCUAAAGGCAUGCAAAGCAUCAUGGGAGUUAUAGUUCUACCACAUUUGGGCAUCUACCUAUUGGGCAGCCCUGAUGUUGAUAGAUGUAUUUAUCAGGUUGUUAUGUAUUAUUCAGUGAGCUCAUUCACUGCUUCUCACGUGCUAUGUCUGCGAUUUUAUGUAAUCCAUAAGAACUCUCUCUCAGUAUUACAGGUUUUUGUGUGUGUGUGUGUGCGUGCGUGCGCACACACACACACACACACAUUUAUAUGUUUUAAUGAUAAAUACUGUGUAUGUGUCUUUUUUUAAAUGCGUAACUUUAGUGCCACAUUCUGCAUGGAAACUAACCAUCUUAAUUUAUUAUGUAUAGGGCAGCAUCCAUCCUUUUAAAAUGUAUUACCAUGGGUGUUAUAAUAGCUGUGUGUGGUAAAAGGUCAAGGUCAGCUGCAUUCUCACACUUAUUUUCCAUGUAGAGAGAGCUUCACACUUUUAGUGAACUGUCUUGUGACCGGUAAAACAGGACUAAAUGCACAAUUCAUAGCAGUUGCUUUGUUUCUACCCCUUGUAGAGUGUCAGAGCUGCUUUGAAGGAUUAGUGGACUUUUAAAACAAUUAACCUGUUAACCACAGAACCAUGCUUUAAGGAAAAAAAGCAGGGUUACAUAGCUAGCAUAUUGUAUAAAUCAACAGUUUAGCAUAUAGGGCGUAUUCCAGGAUAUUUAAAAUUAAAUGAAAACGUGUCAGGUUUUUUUAGAAUAAAAAAUGUUUCUUUUAUUUUUUCAGAAUUUGUAGACACAUUGAGGGGAAAAGUUUCUACAUUUGUAAUUCCCCCAACAGGUUCCAAAAUAACCCAUUAUGUCUGUAGGUGUGACAAAAAAAUAUAAGUACAAAUGGUCAUUUACCUGCACAUGAAUAUUUGUAAAGAGAGCAGAUUUUAAAAUGCCAUCAAAAUGCGAGUCCCAAUUCACAACAGUCUUAGAUUUGUUAAGAGAUAAGUCACUGAAAAGCGUAGUUCAUGAACACGGUUAGACUCAAUCAAGAAGACUAGCAACUUCUGGUGGCCUGGGCUAAAAAAAAGGUCAAGCUCACAGAUCUCAGUGUGGUUGAUCAUGAUCAUGUAGGGCAUGACAUAUACAUGUUUGAUAGAUGGAGGCUGACACCUUGGAGUUUCAAGGUCUAUAACCAAACGUUCCUGCAACCUUCAUCAAUAUCACUUGCACAGUGUGAAGGAACAUUCACAGACUUCAGUCUGUACACACCUAAUAUACACAGACUCUGCUUCCAAUUGUCUUAGUUACCAUUGACAACUGGCAUCUGUUGCCUUACGCCUCGUGCAAACAUACAUGCCAAUUCACCUUCCGCUAUUUUAAUUUUUAGCUGACUGGUGAAAGCUUGCAGCCCGCAAUCACCAUGCCAACCCUCCAAUUCUAGUGGCCUUGGAGCAGAUUCCGUCUUUUGUUCCAUGCAUAUCCAACCCUUGGUUCCAGUGUGCCGCAAUAGGCAAUUGCUGGCAGAGACCACUUCUGCAGAGAUCUGUGCAUGGGCAGCAUUGGUUUAUAGGCAAAAAAGUUGCUUGACUAAAACAUAUCUCCCAACAUCAGAGUUCCAAGAGACAUAUGUGGGAAGGGAGUAAAGGGAGCAGCUCCACAUAUAGGGUAUUCUUCCACUAAUAAAGUAGUGGAUCCACCCGAAUUACUGGCAGCUCAGCCUGAGAUGAAUGCACAUCAGACUGCCUGUCAAUUAAGCAGAAAUCAGGACAGUUGGGAGGCCUGCCAGAAGCAAAUAUCUCCAAUGGACUUUAAAAUAUUAAUAAAAUUUAUUGUACUAUUAAAUUUAAAACAUAUAGCAUAAACAUAAGUAAUAUGUUUAUACUUGACUAAAGAAGCUCUUCAAGAGUGAAACGCGUUUUGGCAAUAAUCAGGACUUUUAUAAUUUACUUUAUAUUGUGUUAUUUAUGAUUAUACUAUAUGUCUUAAAUUUAAUUGUACAAUAAAUUUUUAUUAAUAUUUUAAAGUCCAUUGGAGCUUUCAGAAUCUUCAUAGGGGCAGUGCCAUCCUCACUAAAUUGGCACAAUACUAUGAUUCCUCAGGCCCAGGACUUUAAGGCUCUGAAAAUGGUGAACACUGUACAUAUUUAACCUGUCCUUACUGACAGUCUACACAUUGGUUCCCUUUCUUCCUUUUAUUUUUCUCUGAGUUAACUUUAAAGUGGACAAGAGGUGUGAUGCUGCCCUACAGGCAUAAAAUUCCAGUUACGGAGCCAAUGUACAUAUUUAGGCUCCUUUAAAUGUAAGUGAUCCUACCUCUCAAGAAUUUAUUCAGUUUAUUUUGAAAUACAGUACCAUCUACACUAUAUUGUGUUUAAUUGUAUCUUUUAUAUGUACCACAAGUUUAACAUUUUAACAAGAUAACAUGGGGUAAGUUACAACAUACACAGAUAUAUUUUAUAUUAAGCGCUCCACUUAAGGUAUAGGUUUAACUUAUAUCACUUUAAAGAUUACCUACUAAUUGUUUUACCUUCCUGUUCCUGCGUUAUAGGAUUACAGAAGCUCUCCAUCCAUGUGGUGCUACGUAUUUCUCUUUGCCAUGAUUUGGGCAAUUGUUUGGUUCCUAAGGGACAGACAGACCAUAUCAAGAUUUUCAGACAAACAUGUCUUCAUCACAGGCUGUGACACUGGCUUCGGAAAUUUGCUGGCCAAACGUCUGAGCAGGAAGGGCUUCCAGGUCUUGGCAGGAUGCCUCACUCAAACAGGAGCAGACGAACUAUUGAAAGCUUGCCCUGUGGGGCUAAAAUGUAUUUUACUGGAUGUUACCAACAGUGACAGCAUCAAACAUGCUGUGGAGUGGGUGAAGUCUGAGGUGGGGGACAAAGGU